UAAGCGACUAAGCGUACACGGUGGAUGCCUAGGCAGUCAGAGGCGAUGAAGGGCGUGCUAAUCUGCGAAAAGCGUCGGUAAGCUGAUAUGAAGCGUUAUAACCGACGAUACCCGAAUGGGGAAACCCAGUGCAAUACGUUGCACUAUCGUUAGAUGAAUACAUAGUCUAACGAGGCGAACCGGGGGAACUGAAACAUCUAAGUACCCCGAGGAAAAGAAAUCAACCGAGAUUCCCCCAGUAGCGGCGAGCGAACGGGGAGGAGCCCAGAGUCUGAAUCAGUUUGUGUGUUAGUGGAAGCGUCUGGAAAGUCGCACGGUACAGGGUGAUAGUCCCGUACACCAAAAUGCACAGGCUGUGAACUCGAUGAGUAGGGCGGGACACGUGACAUCCUGUCUGAAUAUGGGGGGACCAUCCUCCAAGGCUAAAUACUCCUGACUGACCGAUAGUGAACCAGUACCGUGAGGGAAAGGCGAAAAGAACCCCGGCGAGGGGAGUGAAAUAGAACCUGAAACCGUGUACGUACAAGCAGUGGGAGCACCUUCGUGGUGUGACUGCGUACCUUUUGUAUAAUGGGUCAGCGACUUAUAUUUUGUAGCAAGGUUAACCGAAUAGGGGAGCCGUAGGGAAACCGAGUCUUAACUGGGCGUCUAGUUGCAAGGUAUAGACCCGAAACCCGGUGAUCUAGCCAUGGGCAGGUUGAAGGUUGGGUAACACUAACUGGAGGACCGAACCGACUAAUGUUGAAAAAUUAGCGGAUGACUUGUGGCUGGGGGUGAAAGGCCAAUCAAACCGGGAGAUAGCUGGUUCUCCCCGAAAGCUAUUUAGGUAGCGCCUCGUGAACUCAUCUUCGGGGGUAGAGCACUGUUUCGGCUAGGGGGCCAUCCCGGCUUACCAAACCGAUGCAAACUCCGAAUACCGAAGAAUGUUAUCACGGGAGACACACGGCGGGUGCUAACGUCCGUCGUGAAGAGGGAAACAACCCAGACCGCCAGCUAAGGUCCCAAAGUCAUGGUUAAGUGGGAAACGAUGUGGGAAGGCACAGACAGCCAGGAUGUUGGCUUAGAAGCAGCCAUCAUUUAAAGAAAGCGUAAUAGCUCACUGGUGGAGUCGGCCUGCGCGGAAGAUGUAACGGGGCUAAACCAUGCACCGAAGCUGCGGCAGCGACACUUAGGUGUUGUUGGGUAGGGGAGCGUUCUGUAAGCCGUUGAAGGUGACCUGUGAGGGUUGCUGGAGGUAUCAGAAGUGCGAAUGCUGACAUAAGUAACGAUAAUGCGGGUGAAAAACCCGCACGCCGGAAGACCAAGGGUUCCUGUCCAACGUUAAUCGGGGCAGGGUGAGUCGACCCCUAAGGCGAGGCUGAAAAGCGUAGUCGAUGGGAAACAGGUUAAUAUUCCUGUACUUGGUGUUACUGCGAAGGGGGGACGGAGAAGGCUAGGCUGGCCGGGCGACGGUUGUCCCGGUUUAAGCGUGUAGGGGGAGUGACCAGGUAAAUCCGGUUGCUUAUCAACCCUGAGGCGUGAUGACGAUGCACCACGGUGCAGAAGCAGUUGAUGCCAUGCUUCCAGGAAAAGCCUCUAAGCAUCAGGUAACAUUAAAUCGUACCCCAAACCGACACAGGUGGUCAGGUAGAGAAUACUCAGGCGCUUGAGAGAACUCGGGUGAAGGAACUAGGCAAAAUGGUGCCGUAACUUCGGGAGAAGGCACGCUGGCGUUAGGUGAAAGGACUAGCUCCUGGAGCUGAAGCCAGUCGCAGAUACCAGCUGGCUGCAACUGUUUAAUAAAAACACAGCACUGUGCAAACACGAAAGUGGACGUAUACGGUGUGACGCCUGCCCGGUGCUGGAAGGUUAAUUGAUGGGGUCAGCCGCAAGGCGAAGCUCUUGAUCGAAGCCCCAGUAAACGGCGGCCGUAACUAUAACGGUCCUAAGGUAGCGAAAUUCCUUGUCGGGUAAGUUCCGACCUGCACGAAUGGCGUAAUGAUGGCCAGGCUGUCUCCACCCGAGACUCAGUGAAAUUGAACUCGCUGUGAAGAUGCAGUGUACCCGCGGCAAGACGGAAAGACCCCGUGAACCUUUACUAUAGCUUGACACUGAACAUUGAGCCUUGAUGUGUAGGAUAGGUGGGAGGCCUUGAAGUGUGGACGCCAGUCUGCAUGGAGCCAACCUUGAAAUACCACCCUUUAAUGUUUGAUGUUCUAACUCGGCCCCAUGAUCUGGGGUGAGGACAGUGUCUGGUGGGUAGUUUGACUGGGGCGGUCUCCUCCCAAAGAGUAACGGAGGAGCACGAAGGUUAGCUAAUCACGGUCGGACAUCGUGAGGUUAGUGCAAAGGCAUAAGCUAGCUUGACUGCGAGAGUGACGGCUCGAGCAGGUACGAAAGUAGGUCUUAGUGAUCCGGUGGUUCUGAAUGGAAGGGCCAUCGCUCAACGGAUAAAAGGUACUCCGGGGAUAACAGGCUGAUACCGCCCAAGAGUUCAUAUCGACGGCGGUGUUUGGCACCUCGAUGUCGGCUCAUCACAUCCUGGGGCUGAAGUAGGUCCCAAGGGUAUGGCUGUUCGCCAUUUAAAGUGGUACGCGAGCUGGGUUUAGAACGUCGUGAGACAGUUCGGUCCCUAUCUGCCGUGGGCGUUGGAAGAUUGAGAGGGGCUGCUCCUAGUACGAGAGGACCGGAGUGGACGAAUCACUGGUGUUCGGGUUGUCAUGCCAAUGGCAUUGCCCGGUAGCUAAAUUCGGAAGAGAUAACCGCUGAAAGCAUCUAAGCGGGAAACUUGCCUCGAGAUGAGUCUUCCCUGGGGCUUAAAGCCCCCUGAAGGAACGUUAAAGACUAUGACGUUGAUAGGCUGGGUGUGUAAGUGCAGCGAUGUAUUGAGCUAACCAGUACUAAUGAUCCGUGAGGCUUAACCU
rnacentral:rRNA from 1 species